GAUGAACGCUGGCGGCGUGCCUAAUACAUGCAAGUCGAGCGAACAGACGAGGAGCUUGCUCCUCUGACGUUAGCGGCGGACGGGUGAGUAACACGUGGAUAACCUACCUAUAAGACUGGGAUAACUUCGGGAAACCGGAGCUAAUACCGGAUAAUAUAUUGAACCGCAUGGUUCAAUAGUGAAAGACGGUUUUGCUGUCACUUAUAGAUGGAUCCGCGCCGCAUUAGCUAGUUGGUAAGGUAACGGCUUACCAAGGCAACGAUGCGUAGCCGACCUGAGAGGGUGAUCGGCCACACUGGAACUUGGACACGGUCCAGACUCCUACGGGAGGCAGCAGUAGGGAAUCUUCCGCAAUGGGCGAAAGCUUGACGGAGCAACGCCGCGUGAGUGAUGAAGGUCUUCGGAUCGUAAAACUCUGUUAUUAGGGAAGAACAAAUGUGUAAGUAACUAUGCACGUCUUGACGGUACCUAAUCAGAAAGCCACGGCUAACUACGUG
rnacentral:rRNA from 1 species